rnacentral:rRNA from 1 species
AUUGAACGCUGGCGGCAGGCCUAACACAUGCAAGUCGAGCGAGCGGCGGACGGGGGAGUAAUGUCUGGGAAACAGCCUGAGGGAGGGGGAUAACUACUGGAAACGGUAGCUAAUACCGCAUACCAUCAGAUGUGCCCCGAUGGGAUGAGCUGGUUGGUGGGGGAAUGGCUCACAUAGGCGACGAUCCCUCGCUGGUCUGAGAGGAUGACCAGCCACACGGGAACUGAGACACGGUCCAGACUCCGACGGGAGGCAGCAGUGGGGAAUAUUGCACAAUGGGCGCAAGCCUGAUGCAGCCAUGCCGCGUGUAUGAAGAAGGCCGUCGGGUUGUAAAGCACUUUCAGCGGGGAGGCGUUACCCGCAGAAGAAGCACCGGCUAACUCCGUGCCAGCAGCCGCGGUAAUAC